GAUGAACGCUGGCGGCGUGCCUAAUACAUGCAAGUCGAGCGAACAGAUAAGGAGCUUGCUCCUUUGACGUUAGCGGCGGACGGGUGAGUAACACGUGGGUAACCUACCUAUAAGACUGGAAUAACUCCGGGAAACCGGGGCUAAUGCCGGAUAACAUUUAGAACCGCAUGGUUCUAAAGUGAAAGAUGGUUUUACUAUCACUUAUAGAUGGACCCGCGCCGUAUUAGCUAGUUGGUAAGGUAACGGCUUACCAAGGCAACGAUACGUAGCCGACCUGAGAGGGUGAUCGGCCACACUGGAACUGAGACACGGUCCAGACUCCUACGGGAGGCAGCAGUAGGGAAUCUUCCGCACUGGGCGAAAGCCUGACGGAGCAACGCCGCGUGAGUGAUGAAGGUCUUCGGAUCGUAAAACUCUGUUAUUAGGGAAGAACAAAUGUGUAAGUAACUGUGCACGUCUUGACGGUACCUAAUCAGAAAGCCACGGCUAACUACGUG
rnacentral:rRNA from 1 species